GACGAACGCUGGCGGCGUGCUUAACACAUGCAAGUCGAACGGAAAGGCCCUGCUUUUGUGGGGUUCCCGAGUGGCGAACGGGUGAGUAACACGUGAGUAACCUGCCCUUGACUUUGGGAUAACUUCAGGAAACUGGGGCUAAUACCGGAUAGGAGCUCCUGCUCCAUGGUGGGGGUUGGAAAGUUUCGGCGGUUGGGGAUGGACUCGCGGCUUAUCAGCUUGUUGGUGGGGUAGUGGCUUACCAAGGCUUUGACGGGUAGCCGGCCUGAGAGGGUGAACGGCCACAAUGGGACUGAGAUACGGCGCAGACUCCAACGGGAGGCAGCAGUGGGGAAUAUUGCACAAUGGGCGGAAGCCUGAUGCAGCAACGCCGCGUGCGGGAUGACGGCCUUCGGGUUGUAAACCGCUUUCGCCUGUGACGAAGCGUGAGUGACGGUAAUGAGUAAAGAAGCACCGGCUAACUACGUG
rnacentral:rRNA from 1 species